GUAGGUGGCAAGCGUUGUCCGGAAUUAUUGGGCGUAAAGCGCGCGCAGGCGGUUCUUUAAGUCUGAUGUGAAAGCCCACGGGCUCAACCGUGAGGGUCAUUGGAAACUGGGGAACUUGAGUACAGAAGAGGAAAGCGGAAUUCCACGUGUAGCGGUGAAAUGCGUAGAGAUGUGGAGGAACACCAGUGGCGAAGGCGGCUUUCUGGUCUGUAACUGACGCUGAGGCGCGAAAGCGUGGGGAGCAAACAGGAUUAGAUACCCUGGUAGUCCACGCCGUAAACGAUGAGUGCUAAGUGUUAGGGGGUUUCCGCCCCUUAGUGCUGCAGCUAACGCAUUAAGCACUCCGCCUGGGGAGUACGGCCGCAAAGGCUG
rnacentral:rRNA from 1 species